rnacentral:piRNA from 1 species
UAAGAAGCUAAUUGCCUCCAAUACUCUGGU